AACCUACUGGACGUCGAGAUGCUGCGCCACCGCCACCGCCACUCCCGAACUGCUCAUUCUAAUCCUCCUACGAUGCCCCCCUCGCCGGAGGGUACCGCCUCCGGGGACCUAGUCGAGAGCGUCGCCUCCGUCCUCCUCGCCUCCCAGUCACCCUCCGCUCCUCCCCUCGAGGAGUCUCUCGCCCCUUUCCUGCCUCGUCUCUCUCCGCCUCUCGCCGCCUCCAUUCUUUCAACUGUGGCCUCCUCCCCCUCCUCCUCCUCCCCCGCUCCCCUCCUCUCCUUCUAUCAACUCAUCCAUGGUCGCUUUUCCUUUCCCUCCGACAAUCCCAACGCCGCCAAGAAGCUUCUUCCUUCGCUUAUUGCCCUCCUUCCUUUCCUCGUACGGUUUAACAGGUUCAGCGAUGUCAAGUCGCUGCUUUUCUCCUUCAUCCGCCUUGACCGCCACCGUCUCCUCCACCUUCAACUCCUCCGUGGCUGCCCGAAGAUGCCAAAAUCCGUACUUGACACCGCCGUGGCCUCCUAUGCUCAACUCCGCCAGCCUCACCUCGCCACUCAGCUUUUCCAGGUCAUGCGUCGUCACCGCCUCCGUCCCUCCCUAUUCACCUCCAAUACCCUUCUCUCCGCCCUCGUACACUCCCCCAACACCUCACCGUCCGUCCCAUUUUCUCUCUUCCAUGAGAUGGUUUCUCUUGGCGUCUCCCCCAGUAUCAACACCUUCAACAUCCUCAUACACGGCUUUUGCUCCCGUGCCCAAUUUAGUGACGCAGUCGCCCUCCUGUCCAGAAUGGUCGGGUUUGGAGUGCACCCAGACACCAUCACCUAUAACACCAUCCUCGACGGCUAUUGCAAGAGGAGCAUGUUGAAGGAAGCACGAGAUCUGCUAACUGAAAUGAAAACGAAGGACGUCCCCCCUAAUCGGUCCACGUAUAACACCAUAAUUGCUGCCUACUGUCGCCUGGGGUGGCUGAAGGAGGCUACCAAGGUCUUUGAAACAAUGACGGAGUCGAAUUUCCCGCCAGACAUUUGGACAUAUAACAUGCUUGUUGCCGGACUGUGCUGUGAUGCCCGCAUUGACGAAGCCUUCCGUUUGAAAGAUGAGAUGGAGAGACUUCACACACCCCCUGACGUGGUCACCUAUAAUACGCUUAUCAAUGGAUGCUUCCAAUGUAGCAGGAGCUCCGACGCAUUCCGUGUUUUCGAAGAGAUGAGGGCAAAAGGUGUGAAACCAAGCUUGGUCACGCACAACAUUAUUGUCAAAGGAUUGUGCAGGGAGGGGAAGAUGGGGGAAGCUGUUGAAUCACUGAGAAAGAUGGAGGAGGAGGGAGUGUUACCAGAUCCCAUCACCUAUAAUACUAUGAUUAGUUGUUAUUGCAAAGCAGGAGAAGUGGGGAAAGCUUUUGAGCUGAUGAGUGAAAUGGUUGAAAGAGGUCUGAAGAUGGACACCUUCACACUAAAUACUGUUCUUCACAAUCUCUGUAAAAUGAAGAGGUUUGAUGAAGCAUGCGAAGUGCUUCGAAGCCCACCGAAGCGGGGUUUUAUGCCUGAUGAAGUUAGCUAUGGUACCGUUAUCAAUGCCUUUUUUAAGGAUGAGAAUCCUGAUGAGGCUAUGAAAUUAUGGGAUGAGAUGAAUGAGAAAAAGAUUUUGCCCCAAGUGGCAACAUAUAAUUCUGUUAUCAGUGGAUUGUGCAGGUUAGGCAGGACAGCAGAGACAAUUAAGAAAUUGAAUGAGCUUAUGGAGAGGGGGCUGGUGCCAGAUGAGACUACAUACAAUACUAUAAUUCAUGGAUUCUGUAGAGAGGGUGAUUUGGAGCAAGCCUUCCAGUUUCAUAAUAAGAUGGUGGAGAAAUCAUUCAGACCAAAUGUAGUUACAUGUAACAUACUUAUGAAUGGUUUGUGUAAUGAUGGUAAGGUUGAUAAGGCUCUUAAUUUGUUCAAGUCAUGGACUUCAAAAGGGAAGGAGGUGGAUGUAAUUGCAUAUAAUACUUUAAUAAAAGGACUCUGCAAGGAGGCUAAAGUUGAUGAUGCAAUGGAACUACUUGUAGACAUGGAGUAUAAGGGUCUUAAGUCUGAUGCCUACUCUUAUAAUGCAGUUCUAUGUGCACUAUCUGAGGCAGGAAGAUCAGAAGAAGCACAGAGCUUGCUGUCAAAGAUGGUUGAAAUGGGAAAGUUGCCUGAGCAGUGGACUCUCCCAUGGUUAUCAGAAGCCCAAACUUUAUCAGGGACAAACAAGGAACAAGGGGGGUUGUCUGAUUCUUCAAAGGUGGAAACACAAGAUAAUAGCUCUUCUGCCUACUCUGAACGCAUUAAUGAGCUAUGCAAUAGUAGGCAGCUCAAAGAAGCUAAGCUUGUGCUAGAAGAAAUGGUGAAGAAAGGUGUUCCUGUUAAUAGUUCAAUUUAUAUUACUUUGAUGGAUGGACUUAUUAACCGUCAGAAGAGAAUAACCAAAGGUCCUGGAUAAAACUUUUUCAGCUAUAUUCUUCUCCCUGGUGUUUGCUGCUGUAGAAAGGUGAUAGCAGAAAUCUCAUGUAUUGUAUCAAUUUCAACUGGCUUAUAACUUGAUUGAACACUUCAUUCAGUAUGAGAAAACACCAUCUGGUUCAACAGGUUGAGGGAUCAAUUCACGGUGGGUGCAGGUCCUCGGGGAAAAAACUCCUCCCACUCCCUAGCUACUUUGCGGUAGCCAUAAGCUAACUUCUUGAUUUACCUCUCUUCACAUAAACUGGGGACGGGCUGUGAGGAGCGCAUGGGCCCUUUGAUCAAGAAGGUAUGUUUCUAGUUGGUUCCCCCUGGAGACCUCGAGACCAAGUGAAUUGGCACGAAAGAAUGCUUAUUCGCCACGGAAGAAACUCGUUGCUUUCAUUUAUUUUUGCUCUUAUCUACUGCCCAUGCCUAUGGAAUACAUUUGUUCUCGUCGUCUAUCUAUCGUGGUCACUGAAUUUCAUCAAAACUCUUCUCAGAAAGAAUCUCAACUGUCUCCAAGAUUAAGCACCAAUUACCCUAUCGCAGUUGAGUCAUCGGCUUCUUGAGAUAAUGGUAUUGGCAACCUUUUUUCGUCACACAGGAAACAUCGUUGGUAAGAGAACUAGUUUAUGUGAUGCUGCAUCAAUAUCUUCUAAAGCUUAUAACAGCUUCUGCUAAGAUAUGGGAUGUUUUAUAUUAUUGUCUUCCCUGUAAUUAAAUUCAAUUCGAGCUUGCAAA